rnacentral:rRNA from 1 species
GCGGUAAUACGUAGGGUGCGAGCGUUAAUCGGAAUUACUGGGCGUAAAGCGUGCGCAGGCGGUUAUGUAAGACAGUUGUGAAAUCCCCGGGCUCAACCUGGGAAUUGCAUCUGUGACUGCAUAGCUAGAGUACGGUAGAGGGGGAUGGAAUUCCGCGUGUAGCAGUGAAAUGCGUAGAUAUGCGGAGGAACACCGAUGGCGAAGGCAAUCCCCUGGACCUGUACUGAC